GAUGAACGCUGGCGGCGUGCUUAACACAUGCAAGUCGAACGAAGCACUUUAUUUGGUUUCCUUCGGGACUGAUUAUUUUGUGACUGAGUGGCGGACGGGUGAGUAACGCGUGGGUAACCUGCCUUGUACAGGGGGAUAACAGUUGGAAACGGCUGCUAAUACCGCAUAAGCGCACGGCAUCGCAUGAUGCAGUGUGAAAAACUCCGGUGGUAUAAGAUGGACCCGCGUUGGAUUAGCUAGUUGGUGAGGUAACGGCCCACCAAGGCGACGAUCCAUAGCCGACCUGAGAGGGUGACCGGCCACAUUGGGACUGAGACACGGCCCAAACUCCUACGGGAGGCAGCAGUGGGGAAUAUUGCACAAUGGGCGAAAGCCUGAUGCAGCGACGCCGCGUGAGCGAAGAAGUAUUUCGGUAUGUAAAGCUCUAUCAGCAGGGAAGAUAAUGACGGUACCUGACGAAGAAGCACCGGCUAAAUACGUG
rnacentral:rRNA from 1 species